CAGGAUUUAAACCCAGCUCUGGGCCUCAGUUGCUCUUUGGGCUCUGUAGAAGGAAUGCUGCUCUUCAGCUCUGUCCCUGCUUGUGAAGAUUCUGGAGCAAAUUGUGUCUGUUUUCCAAGUGCCAUGAAGUGCUGCCACAGAAGUACCACUGCAAGGCAAAGUAUGUGGGGCUGGUGUGCCCUUUCUCUGCUGUAUGUGUGGACUCGGAAAUGACUUUUAAUUGCAAUGUUUCAUAUCAGGCUUGUGCGGGGAGUCCUGCUGAGGCUGAUACAACUCCCAAUUUGACUGUGUUAACUGGCUAAUUGGAGAGACAUGGGAAGAUGUACAUCGAAAGAGAGUAAGAGGCUUCUGAAACAGGAGGUGGAGAAAGAGAACUCCAUUCAAAAUCCAUUACCAGGAGCUUCAGCCAGCCUCAAGCAGUCAUCUGUAAUGCAGCUAAAGCAAGAAUGCAGCUGAACUUAAAGAAAAAGCAACAUUGAGCAAGAAGAAGAACAGCGUCCGGCAGAAGAGGGGGCACAAGAAAGGCACCCUGGGCAAAGGGACCCCUGUGGGCACAGGGGGAGGUCACGUAAGAGCAUGAUGGCACCUUUGGGGUGCCGUGAGGAAUGUUGUGUGCUGGGCGACCUCCCUGUAAGCAGGGCUCAGGUCUUUGCUACUGUUGGUUUUGGCCUUUGGCCGUGUUGCUCCUUUGGCUGCCCGGAGAGCGUGGCAACCCUGUAAGGAGGGUGAGAGCCAGCGUCUCCGCACCCGAGGGGGAAAUGGAGCUCUCUGGACCCCCAGGCCACCCUGUAAGCAGGGGAGGGCCAUUUCCCUGCCCAACUUCUCUGCCCCAGCAGCUUUCUGCCUGCUGGUGGCCUACCCAGCGUGACCCCCUGUUAGUAAUCUGGCUAUAAAAGCAUAAGGUCAAGAAUGGAAGAUGGGAUUAGCAAUAUUACUUUCCUGAAACUUUCUCAUUACUUCUCAGUUAAGUGGUUUUAUUACUUUGCAGCUCAUGCCUUGAUUCCCCCCAUUCCCUCACCAUCUUUUCCUGUUUUGUUCUUACUCUUUGAAGUGAUUUGAUAAUUUAGCAAAGUGGAGAAGCAGCUAUCUCUCUUUUACGUUAGGAAAGCUGAAGUCUUGUCAGUUGCUGUAGUUACUCUUCCCACCAAUUCUAAGAAUCGCACUUUGUAUGGUGAAAAAGGAAUUAAGGAGCAGGUCAGUUGUUUCCUACCAAAGAAAUCCAUUCAAGGAAGGAGAAACUCUUUUUUUUUCCUGAAGUAUGAGUUUUGGGUUUUGUUACAGUUCCCCAGCUCCGGAGUUGCCAUUCAUUGUAAGUAAUAAAGCAAAGGUGACAAAAAUUGUCA
rnacentral:lncRNA from 14 species